AAUCAACGCUGGCGGCGUGCCUCAGACAUGCAAGUCGAACGAUUAAGACUCCCUUCGGGGAGUGCAUAAAGUGGCGCACGGGUGAGUAACACGUAAGUAAUCUGCCCUCGAGUGGGGAAUAACACCGGGAAACCGGUGCUAAUACCGCAUAAUGCAGCGGCACCGCAAGGUGACAGUUGUUAAAGGAGCAAUCCGCUUGAGGAGGAGCUUGCGGCAGAUUAGCUAGUUGGUAAGGUAAUGGCUUACCAAGGCUACGAUCUGUAACCGGUCUAAGAGGACGGUCGGUCACACUGACACUGAAUAACGGGUCAGACUCCUACGGGAGGCAGCAGUCGGGAAUUUUGGGCAAUGGGCGAAAGCCUGACCCAGCAACGCCGCGUGAAGGAUGAAGUAUUUCGGUAUGUAAACUUCGAAAGAAUGGGAAGAAUAAAUGACGGUACCAUUUAUAAGGUCCGGCUAAUUACGUGCCAGCAGCCGCGGUAAUACGUAGGGACCAAGCGUUGUUCGGAUUUACU
rnacentral:rRNA from 1 species